rnacentral:rRNA from 1 species
UACGUAGGUGACAAGCGUUAUCCGGAAUUACUGGGCGUAAAGCGCACGCAGGCGGUGCGGUAAGUCUGAUGUGAAAUCUCCUGGCUUAACUGGGAGGGGUCAUUGGAAACUGCCGUACUUGAGGCGAUGAGAGGGGUGUAGAAUUCCCGGUGUAGUGGUGGAAUGCGUAGAUAUCGGGAGGAACACCAAUGGCGAAGGCAGCUCGCUGGGACGUGACUGACGCUGAGACGCGAAAGCGUGGGGAGCAAACAGG